rnacentral:rRNA from 1 species
AGAGAUGUGUGAUGACGCAUAUCAAUAAGCGGAGGAAAAGAAACUAACAAGGAUUCCCUUAGUAACGGCGAGUGAAGCGGGAAGAGCUCAAAUUUGAAAUCUUCAAGGUUCUACCUUGACGAAUUGUAGUUUAUAGAAGUGUUUUCUGUUAGUGGAGUGGCAAAAGUUCUUUGGAAUAGGACAUCAUAGAGGGUGAGAAUCCCGUACUUUGGUCAUUCCUCCUAGCGUUGUGAUACACUUUCAACGAGUCGGAUUGUUUGGGAAUGCAGUCCAAAAUGGGUGGUAAAUUUCAUCUAAAGCUAAAUAUUGGCGAGAGACCGAUAGCGAACAAGUACCGUGAGGGAAAGAUGAAAAGAACUUUGAAAAGAGAGUUAAACAGUACGUGAAAUUGUCAAAAGGGAAGCGUUUGACACCAGUGUUGUUUUUCCGAAAAUCAAUUACGAAUGUUUUGUUUUUGAGAAGUUAUGACUUCAUCGGCUUGCUUCUUUCUUUACUGAAACUUUCUUAAUGCACUUUUCGGUUAACAAGUCAACAUCAAUUUCUUUUGUUGUAAAAGGGUACGAGGAAGGUGGCUUUCUUUUCGGAGAAAGUGUUUAUAGCCUUGUACCUCUGCAAUCGGAGAGAUUGAGGUCUGCAGCGUAGAUCCUUCGGGGUUAGAUACAUUUGUGCUAAGCUAUAGCUUUUUAUAGACAACUUGUUGACUAUAUUUAGUCUUGUGGCUUACUCGCUUAUGCUAUUUUACCUACGCUUAGGAUGUUGAACUCUAUCACACACAG